UACGUAGGGACCGAGCGUUGUCCGGAAUCAUUGGGCGUAAAGAGCGUGUAGGCGGCCUUUUAAGUCCUGCGUGAAAUCCUGCGGCUCAACCGCAGACGGUCGUGGGAAACUGGAAGGCUAGAGUGCGGGAGAGGAGAGUGGAAUUCCCGGUGUAGCGGUGAAAUGCGCAGAUAUCAGGAGGAACACCGGUGGCGAAGGCGGGUCUCUGGGCCGAUACUGACGUGAGGAGUGAAAGCGUGGGGAGCGAACAGG
rnacentral:rRNA from 1 species